ensembl:lncRNA
CUGACAGUGAAAAGGGAAAUCUUCUCGCAAAAAGAAGGAACAUAAGAAUAAGGGAUGUUUGAAGUGUUACUCUCAACAAACAGAAGCAUGUGGACACUGGACAGACAUUGACUGUAAUGAUGGACAUCUGCUGAAGCACAGGCAGAAGUAUAACGCCUGCUGGACAUUGUGCUGGAACUCGGGGAGGACACCAUGAUCCCCCACACCUUCUCACUCACACCAGACCAUUCACUCAUAUCACGGAGAUCUGGCUGGACUUGAACCAGCAACCUCUGAAACUAUGAGGCAGUGCUCUUACCUCUGAGCCACAGAUCUCAUGUCUGAACAUGUGCAGGAACUUAUAUUUCACUAUUCUCCCUGUCAGUUUACAAUAAACCAGUUAAAUUUUUAACCCAUCACACCACUGCAGUCCUGAUUGUGAGUAACAUGUGUUUAGCCAUUAGUGCCACACUGGCUUUCAUAUUGAAAGCUUGCGUUUGCUCCACUUUGUUGGAUAUAAUGCAAUACAUGAGCUUUAAUGUAAGCAAUAGUUGGGCUUGAACUCAGAACUCAAUGAUCCCAACACAACACGCUGCUUCUUGAGCCACUGGAACAGGUGUGUAAAUGGUUGUUUUGGACAGGUUAUAUUAAGAGCUUUGGUUUAUGUGAUUAAAAAUAAUUAAAUGAAUAAAUAAAUAAAAACUUGAGCUAGCAUUUUAGGUGGUGUUUUGCUGGAAACAGUAACAACAGCUGAAUGUAAGGAAAAGUGGAUUUUGAACUCAGGACUCCACAAUUCAUGGAGAAACUUAUUAUCUCCUGCACCACUGUGUGGUGACAUCUAUUGUAGUGUUUUAGAUGUAAAGACGAUAAAAUAACCAAAACGUCUUCAAUAAUUGUGAGAUUUGAACCCAAAGACAAAACACAAUAUUAUGAGCCACAAAGUUUGCAACAACUUGUUGUUAGGUUUUAUCCAAAUUAAAUAACAGUAGGAUUUGAACUCAAGACUCUGUGAUUGAAGCGCAGCACUUUAUAGCCUGAACCACUGGAUUUGUGGUGUAAAGGACUGUUUGCUUCAGCUGUUUUUUCAGGGUUGGAGCUAAAAUCAGGACAGUGGCUCACCAGGAGCAGGAUUAGACAAUCUCUUUCCUCCUGCUGUUUUCAUGUAUUAAUGCAGAUACACUUAUUGUCCACAAGGGAGAGCACAUUAGCACAUUGAUCUGAUCUCAUGCCUGUUCUCCAUCCAUUCAUUCUCCAAACCGCUUCUCCUGUAGGAUCCUGUGAGGAGAUGCUGGAGUCUGUCCCAGAGUCUCCGACCCAAAGCAGGAAAACACCCAGUCCAUCACAGAGCGAUGUGAGGAAGAGCCAGUCAAGCUUUACUGCAAAUCCUGCUUGAUUC